GAAAAUGGUUUUGAUGCAAGUUCUUAUGCGGUACAUUGGGAUUCAGAUCAUGCUCCUUCUCAACAAAACGGUUUUGGUGAGGGUGCUUAUGCAGUGCACUGGGAUCCAGAUCAUUCACCUUCAAAAGGAAAUGGGUUUGGUGAAAGUGCUUAUGCGGUUCAUUGGGAUCCAGAUCGUGCCCCUUC